AUGUGCUUUUUAUGACACUUCACAUUUACAUUCUAUAUGAUUAUAGAAAAAGUACAGUAACGAUAAUAACUCAGAAUUUUUAAAAGGAUUAGUCUGAAGUGAAUUCUUAGUCAUAGUCCCUUUCAGAAAAGGAAAUUUGUCCAGGGUUAUAAGACAGAUCGACCAUCUCAAGCCAUAGAGCAAUCACUACUCUAGUUUGUAUGCUACUCUUACAACACUGAGUAAAGAAAACAACAGUUAGUUUGAAUAUUAUGACCAGUACAAGGAUUCCAAAUAAUGGAAAUAAGAAUUCCAAUCCGGAUCGAAAAAGGGAACUGAUACUGAAAAGGGAGCCAACGAAACAAAUCAAACUAGGUGCAGGAUCGCAUAAGGCAUCCACCUGCUUCUUCAUGUGCUUUAGCGGAGAGGACACAUUGGAAGAUUCAUGACCUAUAAAAGCACAGCAUCCAGUCUGAAUGAUUGUAUAUGUACCACCUUGGGAUGCAGUAAUAAUGUCUAAAGCCAUUCUGUUUUGAAGGACAGCCCUUCUCAUUAAACACAUUUCAGUAUUUGAAUAACGUUAUUCCUGCUUGACUAUCAUUAAGGGCUUCUUGAGUAAAUUUAGUCAGAGCUUCCAAAUGUAAUAAUGACAUCUUUUAGCCCCAAAGAAGAAGCAAAUAUAGUUGAAAAUGUAGCCAUACCAGUGGAACACUGAACAAGCCCAUUUGGCCUUAAAGAGAGGGAGACUGACACCAGGUUUUAACUCAGCCUGACUCCUUCCCUGCUUUUAAAGGAAACUCAGGGUGAAGUGUUUUAGCCAUCCAGGCAGUAGCCAAGGCCAAAGAUUUGUUCCACAUAACCAUUGAGUUCCAUUAGGAGUUACUUAUAAAUUCCUGGCCUUCAAGACCAGUCUAUUCCAAAUUAAUCACUUUAAGUAUGAUAGCAUUUCAAACAAAUUAUAAAAUAGGUAUACAGUUUAAGCAUAACAAAUGUUUAAAUGAGGAGGUAUAAGGUUGGGAAUACAGGCCUGGUCCGGAGUCUUGGGACAGCUGUCUACAAAAGAUGUCGUCUUCUUCUCCUCCUGGUUUGGUCCUUUUCAACAGGGCUGCAAAGAGUCUUAUUUGAUGUCUCUUUCAAUAAAUAAAUUCUUCAGGUUACAGUCCAUGAUCCUUAAGUUCUGGGACUUCUCUGUGAAAGACUCAGCUACAAAUCUUUCAUUUCUUUUAAGCACCACAAUAAGACCAUGAAAACCAUGUAAUACGUCCCUUAAGCAAAGCUGGUUCAUAUAUUUCUUCAUUUAAUUGCGUAGGCUGUUAUAUUAUUUAAAAAGGAGACAGCCGAUGUUUACAAAAAGUAUAGAUCUAAGAUCAAAGAGCACUAGCAUAAGAGCUUUUGGCAGCGAGUAAAUGCUUCUGAAAGCUUGUCAAUUAAGUUCUAGUUGUGCCAUUAGUUUUACCAGUCCUGAGGAUUGAGGAUGGUAAGCACAGUGGAAAUGCUGCAAUAUUGGCCAAACGUUACAAACAGAUUUGAGUUCCCCAGUCACUAUGUAACUCAGUAGGAAUUCCCCAAAGAGGAAUUAUCCUCUCUAAUAGUAAUUUACC
rnacentral:lncRNA from 1 species